rnacentral:rRNA from 1 species
UGGGGAAUAUUGCACAAUGGGGGAAACCCUGAUGCAGCGACGCCGCGUGAGUGAAGAAGUAUUUCGGUAUGUAAAGCUCUAUCAGCAGGGAAGAAAAUGACGGUACCUGAGUAAGAAGCCCCGGCUAACUACGUGCCAGCAGCCGCGGUAAUACGUAGGGGGCAAGCGUUAUCCGGAUUUACUGGGUGUAAAGGGAGCGUAGACGGUUUGGCAAGUCUGAAGUGAAAGGCAUGGGCUUAACCCGUGGACUGCUUUGGAAACUGCAGAACUGGAGUGCAGGAGAGGUAAGUGGAAUUCCUAGUGUAGCGGUGAAAUGCGUAGAUAUUAGGAGGAACACCAGUGGCGAAGGCGGCUUACUGGACUGUAACUGACGUUGAGGCUCGAAAGCGUGGGGAGCAAACAGGAUUAGAUACCC